AGCGACAAUGCAGUGUCCCAUUCACCCCCAUCGAGUUUCACUAUGAGAGAACGCAGGCCCAGUUCUUUGUUGAGGAUGCCAGCGUUGCCUUUGCACUGAAGGGUGUCAAUGGCAAGAUCUGGGAUGAGGCUAACGAAAGGAUCUCUAUCUUAAUCUACCCCUCUGGCACACCCCCCUCUGUGCAGAAGGAGCUGAAGUCAGAAAAGGUGGAGCAGACA